CGGGAUAACAGCUCGAAAGGGCUGCUAAUACCGGGUAAGCUCACGGAGUCUCAUGGCUCCGGGAGAAAAGGUCCUGCAAGGGACUGGGGUGAGAGGGGUCCGCGGUCCAUUAGCUAGUUGGAGGGGUAACGGCCCACCAAGGCGACGAUGGAUAGACGGCCUGAGAGGGCGACCGGCCACACUGGGACUGAGACACGGCCCACACUCCUACGGGAGGCAGCAGUCGGGAAUUUUGGGCUAAUGGCCGAAAGGGCUGACCCGACAACACGGCGUGAGUGAAGAAAGCCUUCGGGUUGCAAAGCUCUGUUACUCGUGAAGAACGGUACGUCGAGGAAAUGCGAUGUACUUGACGGUAGCGGGGGAGGAAGCUCCGGCUAACUACGUGCCAGCAGCCGCGGUAAUACGUAGGGAGCGAGCGUUGUCCGGAUUUAUUGGGCGUAAAGGGCGUGUAGGCGGCUUGUUAAGUCUGGAGUGAAAAUCCGGGGCUCAACCCCGGAACUGCUUCGGAUACUGAUGAGCUUGAGUACUCUAGAGGGCAGUGGAAUUCCCGGUGUAGCAGUGAAAUGCGUAGAGAUCGGGAGGAACACCAGUGGCGAAGGCGACUGCCUGGGGAGAAACUGACGCUGAGGCGCGAAAGCUGGGGGAGCAAACGGGAUUAGAUACCCCGGUAGUCCCAGCCGUAAACGAUGAGUGCUAGGUGUAGCGGGUAUCGACCCCCGCUGUGCCGCAGUUAACGCAAUAAGCACUCCGCCUGGGGAGUACGGCCGCAAGGUUGAAACUCAAAGGAAUUGACGGGGGCCCGCACAAGCAGCGGAGCAUGUGGUUUAAUUCGAAGCAACGCGUAGAACCUUACCAGGGCUUGACAUGUAGCGAACCCGCCAGAGAUGGUGGGGUGCUCUUUCGGGAGAGCGCUAACACAGGUGGUGCAUGGUUGUCGUCAGCUCGUGUCGUGAGAUGUUGGGUUAAGUCCCGCAACGAGCGCAACCCCUAUCGUAUGUUGCCAGCAGGUAAAGCUGGGCACUCAUGCGAGACUGCCGGUGACAAACCGGAGGAAGGUGGGGAUGACGUCAAAUCAUCAUGCCCCUUAUGUCCUGGGCGACACACGUGCUACAAUGGGCGCCACAAAGCGAACCGAGACCGCGAGGUGGAGGAAACCGCAAAAGGCGUUCGUAGUUCAGAUCGCAGGCUGCAACUCGCCUGCGUGAAGCCGGAGUUGCUAGUAAUCGCGGAUCAGCACGCCGCGGUGAAUACGUUCCCGGGCCUUGUACACACCGCCCGUCACACCAUGGGAGCUGGUAACACCCGAAGUCGGUGAGCUAAC
rnacentral:rRNA from 1 species